ACAACAAUUCUGUCUCUGACACUGGCAUCUAGCUGGAGGUCAGGUGAAACUGGGAAAGAAUUGAAAAUUUUCAAUGUGGUUUCCACUUUCAGUCUGAAACGUUAUUUACAGCUGUGAUGGUGUAUAAGCCAGUGUCACUCCUGCGAGACUGUGGAAUAACUAAAGUGCAGAUACUUAUUUUUCUCAAGUGGAGGAAAAGAAAUUUGAUUGUGAAGAGAAACGCACUGCGGCAGUUGCCAAGCAAAUGACUGGUUGCUUUCUGACCCUUCUGAGGAGCAGGCAGAGGAACUGCCUUAACUUCUGACAAAGAAAACAGCUUUCCAUGGAGAAAAUUACAAUUGGAUCACGUGCUGUUUUGGGAUCAGAAGGUGGACUGAACUUGCCAGGUCCAGCUGCAUUUUCCGCACAUACUCUGAAGACAUAGGUCCAGCCAGAUUUUCAGCCAACACACGGAAUCUGUAUUUUUUCUUAUUGGUGAGACCUUUCACUCUGAAUUAGGAAAAAGAGCAUGUACAACAAUAUGGUUCUCCACAGGCAACCCAUUUAUCGGAACCACGUGGACACUUUUCUACUAUGUAUCCUUUGAUGCGUGAACCACCAUCAUAUUUAGGUGGAUCCCAUGUUAGGAAGAUGCUCUUGGCUGUCCGAUC